UCUGACUGCACAGGCUCACGGCUGC
rnacentral:piRNA from 1 species